UACGUAGGGGGCAAGCGUUGUCCGGAAUCAUUGGGCGUAAAGCGCGCGUAGGUGGCCUCAUAAGUCCGCUGUGAAAGUCAAAGGCUCAACCUUUGAAAGCCGGUGGAUACUGUCGGGCUAGAGUCCGGAAGAGGCGAGUGGAAUUCCUGGUGUAGCGGUGAAAUGCGCAGAUAUCAGGAAGAACACCAAUGGCGAAGGCAGCUCUCUGGGACGGUACUGACGCUGAGACGCGAAAGCGUGGGGAGCAAACAGG
rnacentral:rRNA from 1 species